GUUUUCUCCGGCUGUUUUUGGCAAUGGUAGAACUCACACUGGUGAGGUAUCAGGAUCCGGUGGUUCUAGACUUGCCAACUACGGCCCGAGGGUCA
rnacentral:pre_miRNA from 1 species